rnacentral:rRNA from 1 species
UGGGGAAUAUUGGACAAUGGGCGAAAGCCUGAUCCAGCCAUGCCGCGUGUGUGAAGAAGGUCUUCGGAUUGUAAAGCACUUUAAGUUGGGAGGAAGGGCAGUAAGCGAAUACCUUGCUGUUUUGACGUUACCGACAGAAUAAGCACCGGCUAACUCUGUGCCAGCAGCCGCGGUAAUACAGAGGGUGCAAGCGUUAAUCGGAAUUACUGGGCGUAAAGCGCGCGUAGGUGGUUCGUUAAGUUGAAUGUGAAAGCCCCGGGCUCAACCUGGGAACUGCAUCCAAAACUGGCGAGCUAGAGUAGGGCAGAGGGUGGUGGAAUUUCCUGUGUAGCGGUGAAAUGCGUAGAUAUAAGAAGGAACACCAGUGGCGAAGGCGACCACCUGGGCUCAUACUGACACUGAGGUGCGAAAGCGUGGGGAGCAAACAGG